CCAAUAGCGUAUAUUAAAGUUGUUGCAGUUAAAAAGCUCGUAGUUGAAUUUCGGGGUCAAUACGUCGGUCGUGCCUCGGUACGCACUAACGUUAUUGAUCCCUCCCUUCUGACGAACCGUGAUGUCAUUAAUUUGGUGUUGCGGGGAAUCAGGACUGUUACCUUGAAAAAAUUAGAGUGUUUAAAGCAGGCAAUCGCUCGAAUACAUUAGCAUGGAAUAAUGAAAUAGGACGUUCGAACCUAUUUUGUUGGUUUCUAGGAUCGACGUAAUGAUUAAUAGGGAUAGUUGGGGGCAUCAGUAUUCAAUUGUCAGAGGUGAAAUUCUUGGAUUUAUUGAAGACUAACUACUGCGAAAGCAUUUGCCAAGGAUGUUUUCAUUAAUCAAGAACGAAAGUUAGGGGAUCGAAGACGAUCAGAUACCGUCGUAGUCUUAACCAUAAACUAUGCCGACUAGGGAUCGGAUGAUGUUAAUUUUUUAAUGACUCAUUCGGCGCCUUACG
rnacentral:rRNA from 1 species